rnacentral:lncRNA from 1 species
UGGGCAUCAUUCUCUGCAGGAUGGUUAUACCUUUCCAUGUACUUGUGAAGUUACCUCGGAACUAAAUCGAGAUUCUCUUAUUCAGCUCAGGUUGUUACUGGUGAUUCGGCGAUGUUCUUUUAUUUUGUCUUAGCAGAGUAUGGCCAAGUACGAUGGUUCCUUCUGUUUAUCGUAUUGAUCCUAAAGAGAUUUUAGAAUUUUGGCAGGUUGUAGAGUUUCUCCGGAUUUGAAUCCUUGGAGUUUUUCUUUUUUAAGUUUCUCCUGAAGGAGGAGAGCACUCUGAAUCUUAGUAGUUUUAGAGAGAUACUAUUAAGAUUAGGCAAGAGUGUAUAUAGGAGGUUCCACUUUCCAUUUUGGCUGAAAUUUCCCUUGUUAAAGUAUGGGCGUGUCUAUGCUUUCAAUUGGCCGUAUGACUACUGUUAGGUUCGUGUUAUAAGAGGUUUCAGUUUCCAUUUUAGUUCUAAUGUGCUCUUAUUCCCAAGCUUUUGUAAUAUGCGUUAGUGCUUGUUCUGAAUGUUUAAUCAUAUCUCUUUGAGUUUCCUCUAUUGCACCUUUUCAUUCAUAUCUGGAGCUAUGCUUCAUAUAUUAAGUAUUUGGUUGAUGAUACUGUAUCCUUCACUAAAUCUCUUUUCUUGUAUGACGUUUCUAUAAGAGCAUUGACACCCAAUCCCUCCAUCUCCUAGUUUUAACAAUGGAGUCCAGUUAAGAAUGACACCUCAGAUUCUCAUCGGGUACAUGCAUCCUCCAUCAAUUUAUGUAUCAACCAAC